UAUAUGUAGAGACGCUGAUGGAUGAAAACACCGCGAUGACCGCUUUCAGGUUCCUCUCUCUGCUAUAACCUACGUGACCUACGCUCGGAUCGAAUACUGCCUAAUCGGCCGAGCAGUGUCGAGUCAGUCAAAUGUAGGUCACGUAGGUCGUAACAGAGCGCGCAACGGCUCACGGAUAGAUGGAGCACGAUGUGCGGUGUGCCUGAGUGUGCUCGGAAUCGCAGCACAAAUUGUGGUCUUCUUUUGCGCGCGAAAUCGAUCAUUCGAUAUGUACUGCUAAUCGAAAUCGAGGGAAGGAAAGAAAGAGAAAGAGAAGGGAAAGAAACGGGGAGAGAGAAAGAGAGAGAGAGAGAGAGAGAGAGAGAGAGAGACGUAUGUACAAUUGUACAAGUCAAAAGUCGAAAGGCGCAAAAGUUGGAAAAUUGUGAUUAUGGUAGUUGCUGAUAAUUUGCUGGACCAGGAUGUGGUUAUUGAUGAUUAAUUGUACACAAAAUUCGUGAUUUUCGUGAAAUCACGGGAGAGAGACAGUAAGUUUUUUCACCGGAUUGUCAUUUCGGAUUUUAAUCCUAGCGAAGAUAAAGAUCUGAGCACAAGUAAAUGCCGGAAGCUGUUCCACAGUCAUAGAGUGGCGACUCACGGCGGGGUGUUCUCAAAAAAUAUUAUGCGCACAUUGUUUUCUCAACGUGACAUUAACUUUAUCGUUACUUCGUGGAUUCGUUAAUUUUCCUCCAUAAAUUGAUGCUAUCUCAGAAUUUUCACACAAACAAUAUCAAAUUCAAUAUCAGAUCGCGAUUGUUGCUGCGUUUGAGGUAACGUGAUACACGAAAAUUUAUCAUCUUAAAA